rnacentral:rRNA from 1 species
GACGAACGCUGGCGGCGUGCCUAACACAUGCAAGUCGAACGGACAUUGAAUGAAACCUAGUGAUUUUAAUGUUAGCGGCGGACGGGUGAGUAACGCGUGGGAAACCUGCCCUGUACCGGGGGAUAACACUUAGAAAGGAAGAUUAAUACCGCAUAAGAAGUAGAAGUCGCAUGGCUUUAGCUUUAAAGGAGCAAUCCGCUAUAAGAUGGACCCGCGGCGCAUUAGCUAGUUGGUGAGGUAACGGCUCACCAAGGCGACGAUGCGUAGCCGACCUGAGAGGGUGAUCGGCCACAUUGGAACUGAGACACGGUCCAGACUCCUACGGAGGCAGCAGUGGGGAAUAUUGCACAAUGGGCGAAAGCCUGAUGCAGCAACGCCGCGUGGGUGAUGAAGGUUUUCGGAUCGUAAAGCCCUGUCUUUUGGGACGAUAAUGACGGUACCAAAGGAGGAAGCCACGGCUAACUACGUG